GCCUGGGUGGCUCAGUCGGUUAAGCGGCCGACUUCAGCUCAGGUCACGAUCUCGCGGUCCGUGAGUUCGAGCCCCGCCUCGGGCU
rnacentral:tRNA from 1 species